UGAAUAGAUAUUUAAAAAUAUAAUAAAAACUAGGAUAUACAACUAAAUAAUAAGCAUAAAAAUAUCAAAAAAAGACAUUAAAUCCCUCAUUCUUAGAUAUCAUUAGCACUCUAGCUCUCAUUCACUUCUAGAUCACCUUGUCUAUUUGAUAAUCUAAACUCCUGAGCUUAGAAGUUUGUGAAGAAAUGAAAUCUUUCACUUGAUAGUUGAAAAAUUUGAGAGAAUUUGCUAGAAAGGAAGUGUAGAAAGUUGAAGUAAUAAAACCAAUACGUUUGCCUCUGCCCGAAACAAAUACUCCAACUGUUGCCUCUGCCAAAAAGUACUCCCGCUACUGCCUCAUGUUAUAACAGUGCAAAAAACAGCAAAAGAUGCUGCCUUUCAAGAAUAAUGGCCGUCACAGCCGUUAAUUAACGAUCAUGAUAGCCAUUAAGUAACAAUCGAUAAAUGUUACUUGACAACUGUAUCAACCAACGACCAUAACACCCCAUUUUUUUUUUUCAAAAAUUCCAUUAUUUAAAGUCCUUAAUGGAAAUGAUAGGCCAUUUUUCCUGUAAGUAAUGGCCGUCAUAUUUUUUAAAACUAUGAUUGUGAGUCAAUUGUUUGAGGUUAUGUCAACUUGGGUUUAAUUGUUCUGGUUGUGAAAAUAUAUGUUCUGCAAGUAUGUAGGCCUCUUUGAUAUUUCCAUGGUUUAAAACAAAAACAAUGGGUUAUUUUGAGCCUUUUUCCUUCCAAAUGUUCAUUUAAUUGUGGAUAACU
rnacentral:misc_RNA from 1 species